GUGCUGAUAAUGAUUAUACGCAGAGUUUAUUAUGAUUAUGAGCGCGAGCAGCCGUUGACACAACGGUGGCGCUUUGAGAGUCACAUCACUAUCAUGCCAUAAAAACCUUCUCCGACCGGUCAAAUGUUUAUUAUGAUCAUAGACCCACGCAUAAAUGACACGCUUGGAUGUGUAGGUGGGAUAUCAUGCAUGUCCAGCAGUUAUUUUGGUGGGAAAAAAAAUAAAAAUGUGUGUAAUUUUUAGCGAAUUAGCGCCAAGAAUCAUGUUUGAUAUGGUUGUAUUACUCGAGUUAUUUCGCAGAGGAGCUGCCGUGUCUCUCUCAAUUUGACAAAAUAAAUCCAGCCCGUUCAAACUCAUUAUUUUCAUUUCCUGUCAACUAUAGCUUCACAUCAUGUAAAUACAGUUCAUCUAGUGGCCCGUUUUUUUAAGAGAGUUGUGGAAGUCUUUUCCAGCCAGCAGAUUGUGAAUAAUUUUUCAAAGUGAAUUCCUGCAACUCUCCAGAGAUCGGUCGUCUCGUCUGUCUUAUUUUUAGCACGCAUUUUAUUGUGAAAGUUCUUUUUAAGGAACUUGUACGUUUAAAAAAAAAAAAAAGAAAAUAUCAGUGAGGACAGGCUGAAAGACAGCCAGUCACGCAAGCAGUCUGUCAAUCAGGUGAGAGCGAACCUUUAUUUCCAGUAGAAACACACACCACCUGUGCUCACUGUGCCAGUUAGGCCACUAGGGGACUCAUUCUCUCCAGUCAGUCAGAAAAAUGCAGCAGGGAAGGGAUACAAGUCAUGGAGAAGGGACUUCAGGUACUCCACAUGUGCUUUUACUGAAAAUAAACAAAAACUCAACCAGGAGGAGGAAUUUUUUUUUUCAAAACAGAAAUUUUGGGCUGCAGUUUUUAAAAAUAAAAAUAUUUUAAAAAAUACUAAAAAUGUUAUCUUCAAUAUCCAGAAGGAGAGUUCUCACGUAAAGCCUUGAAAAUCCUUCCUAACAUUGUAAUGUGUUGCGCUAAGAGUCAAUUAAAAUGCUCUGUUUGAAGUGGAAGCAGGCUAGUCAGGUGUUCCAAGGGCCAAUGUGUGCGUGUGUGCUCAAGCAUGCAAAUUGGUGUGCCUGUGUGUUUGCUCAAGCAAUUCCUAGUUUAUAGCCAGUAAGCACUCCAGGAGAGCACACCCCAGCAUCUACACUGUCUUACAUGCUUUACAGUUCCCGGCUCAAACAAUUAGCACUCGCCCAAUUUUGACACGGCGCAAUUAACGCUGUCACCACACAUUCGAUUUCCAAUUUUGCUGUUGCGACAGCAGCGCUCAAAAGAGGAGACAAAAUGGAUAUGCACUAAAGGUGGUGCUGGCUUAAAGUGCUGCCAUCCAAAGUCGCUGAAGGGAGGAAAGUGUCUCGCUCAUGGAAAAUCGGCACUGACGCGGCCAUUUUCUUCCAAACCCUCAUCCGUCACUCUGGCUUUUUUUUUUUUUUGGUGUAUAUCCUUCAAAAUAUUAUAAAGCUUUCGGUGAAAUAUCUCAGUGGUGAUUUGAAAACGAUAUUCCAGGAUAAAGGAAAUGAAAGAAGGGAUGAUUCCAGCUUUCCUGUGUCAUUCACCAGCCUCUGUGUGUGUGUGCAUGUGUGUGUGAAGGAUACAAACAGUUCAUGGCAUGCAAGCCAUUAAACUGAAAAAUGAUAUAAGUGGUUGGAAAGUGCCUAUGAGGGAGUUGGGCCAUUUUUGCGUGCCUGCCGAUGUACCUUUUUCUGCAGCUUUUGUGCCCGGAGGACAUUCUAAAAUCACAUCCCACAUUUUUUGACAGUGUCUAGGAGGGACAACAGAGUGUUUUUAAGAGUGAAUGUUGGAGGAAAGUCGGCGAUGUCUUUCAAAUGUCCUUUGUGUUUGUUUUAUUUCCCUGGUGUACACUGGGAAAGUGUUUUGACAAGCGCUACGACAUAUGGGGGUUAAAUGCUAAGCUCAUAUGUAUAAGCUCAUUGGCAGCAGUUUAUUUAACAAAGGACUACGGGAGCUUUUAACGUUUCCUUAUCCAAGUCCUUCUUUUUCGGCACGAACCCAAGUUUUUUCUUACAAGCAAGUGUGUUCUGCACCUCACAGGCUCAUUGUUUCAGCGAAAGGCAGGCAGUUUUAACUGGCUGGUUUGUUCUCAGAGCAGACAAAAAGAGAGAGAGUGAGAAAAAAAGUUUGUUUUCUAUCAGUGUGUAUGCAUGUGCCCUCUGCCUGUGUGUGAGCGCCACUUCAGGAAUUCCAAGGCCAGGGCCCCUAUUACAAGUGUGGAAUGAGAAAUCAACACUUACAUUACAAAAAUGGAUACGUAAACAUGGAGGCCACAAUUAUCAGGCGCCGUCGAGUUGGAACUGGAGGAGAUGGAGUGCCAAUAGGUCUGUUAGCAAUCACCCCCCCCUCCUCCCCCCCCUUACUGCCUGCCCUCUGUAAUCCAGUGGGUGUACUCUAGCUUAUUUGGUGCCAGGAGCGACCUUUUACAAGUACUCACCGACUGGUGAGCCGGCAGGGUGGGAGUUUGGUGGAUGCAGUGGGAAGUCUGGCUGGUGGAGGUCAAAUUGUGGAGAAAUAGGCUGUAGUGUAUGAGUUGUAUGUUGAUAUAUGUGUAUUCAUGUAUGCUUCUCGCAGUGGAAGUUCCUCAACCGGAGCGUGCGCCUGUGCGUCAGGGGCCUCCAGCCGACUACAAACCCUGCUUCACGCGGGCCGCCUUGAUGCAUUGUGACAAAUGAGAAAGCAGUUUGAUUUCGCACAACACUGAGCCGCACUCCAGCAUAAUGAAGUGAUCAUGACUUUACCCUUGGUUCACUUUGGCCCCGGUCCCGCUGUGUUUUUCCCCCCUCUAUUCAAUCGCUUCACUCACUUAUUUACUUGGCAAGCAUUUCCUCCCGUAACCUCUAGUACUGCAUAACUAGCGUCAAGGGUGGGUUGCUUGAUAAAAACCACCGCUACGGGGCAUUGGUUUUACACAUAGGGGAACGCGAGCAGUUUUUAUUGAUAUUCAAGUUGCCACUGGGUUGGAAUAAUAAGGAGCCUAUUUUCACGCCCAGGCAAAAUCACCUCUACUGUCCAUCACCCUGUCAGGGCAGAAAGCUGAGGCGUAAAUAUUAUUUGGCAGUGGAGGGAGCUGAGGGCUGUAGCUGAACUUGUUUGUUCCUGCUCACUGUAAUCGUCUCACUUUAUACCCCUGAAUUCCUCUCCCUUUUUUUAUCCUCCCUCGUAAAUGCGUCUAAUCAAACCUAAUUAUCAUUUAAAGAAAGUCUCUUGCUCUACCAAACCACUUUUUUAGCACGUGUGUGUACUCUUAAACACAAAGACCAACGUGUCACUUUCAGCAUGUUUCAUCUAAGCGUAGGGUUCGACAUCGAACAAUUUGCCCUGAGGCUGUGCCUUAAGGCGGUACGUACAGGGGGGAGUACCGAUGUGUCAGAAACACGAAGCGUUUUUUUUUUUUUUUUCUUUUUCAGCUGCAGCUGUCCUUUGCUUGCAGAUUAGGUUUCAGGAGAUAUGAUGGAUGCCAAACGCCUGUAGCCAGUUGUGAAGACAUAGAGGGGAGGGGGGAACUAUGCUGGUGUGGAUCUGGAUCGGGGUCAGUGGCACUGGCAGGGGAUUGGAAUUCUGCCCUUGACCUCCAUUUUGGAUCAUCCCCCAUCAAGUAACUAACAGCCUGUCACUUUGAAAGAGUCGGGGAGAAUAUCUUCGCUUUUUCGAGAAUGAAAGAGGUAGCUUGGUGAUAUUUUUAAAGACUUCAUUCUGACUUUGUUGCAACCCAAAACAUUAUUUCUUUUCAUGCCCUUCCUUUGUCUCAUUUUCUCUUAUCUUAAUUUUUUUUUUUUUUGGAAAGACUGAGAGCAGACUCCACCGAGGUUCAUUUGAAUAACCGUCGGAAUGAGGAAAUAAAAGCUGGGGGAAGAAAUAGAUGUGGCGGUCGGCUCUUUGCAUUCAUGUCACACGGCUUUAUCAAAUUAUUCCACAAUAGCAGCCACACAAGUGAUGGAAUUUCAAUUAAAGUAUGACAGUUUUGAGAAUUUGUUUCUGCUCGAGAAAGAGAUCAUGGGGGUUGUGUUUCAUGGGUUUGGGGCGGCAGAAGAUGUAUUUUCUAGUCUGUAUUCUCUUUACGAAACUCCCCACUCAUUCACCCCCAUCUUCCUUUAAAAGGGAAUGACUUAGCUGAAACCACUUUUUGUUUAGAGGCACUCUGUGGUUAGAGCCUGGAGCCUGGCAAAAAAAAAAAAAAAAAAAAGAGGGGAGGGGGAUGUUAUGGUAAAGGUCUGUGCGACAGAGAAGUCAAAAAUGGAGCCUUUAGUUUGAUAGGCUCUUUCCAAGAACAAUUACGCUACCUGCUGUGCCAAAUAGAAGGUUACAAGAGAUAAGUGCAAGGGAGGGGUGCUCUUCUCAGACUGGUGGCUGGCUCAUAAACUGGAAAAGAGCAACGUAUAUAUGACUCUCAGGGACUGUAAACUGUUUCGGGGCUGAAUCUGUCAGACACGCAAGCUCACAAACACUCAGCACAUGCCAAACAUGAGCGAGGGUGGAAAAACUGUGAAAAAUGUUAGAAAUAGUCCUGGGACCAGACAAAACAUGCGGCAUUUACUGCUGAGGCAGCUCAGCAUAAAAUUACUUCCAUCAAGUAAGACUUACCUUUGUCUUAAAUUAAGCUUAAGAAGAGAAGUGACUGAGAUUUGUGUUUUUUUUUAGUCCAUUUGCAUUUCUGAGACCCCCACAGGAAUUGUCAUAGAGGAGAAAAUUCCAUUACAAAGUGCAGUGACAUUGCCACAUGGCAAUUUCACGAAUGAGGAAUGCAUUUAAUAGUGGAUGGAUUUUUCAUAAUUUGGAAGUGUUUCCCCAAUACGUGCUGUAAUUCUUCAAGUGACACAUGUUGUAAUGGGAUCUAGUGUGUCCAUUAAUCCAGGCACGUCUGGAAACCACAUGUCCAAAGGGAUAUGUUUCCUAUCAGAGUUUGAAUUACACUCAAAAUAGAGAAUUUGGAGUAAGUAAGAGAUUGGAGUUUUAUAAAUAUCUGGUCUUUAUUAUCCCCUUCCUUUUAGAGUCCAAAUAUGAAUUCCUGCAUCACUGCAAGGUUAGGAGUCAAUGUUUAAAUUCUCUGUAACCCCAGUAUUCUCCCACUACUCAAUCUGCAAUUAUAGCUAGCUGCUUUGAAGAAGCCAGGCGGAACUAAAAUGACUUUUCAUGUCCGGUAUAAUGACUGCCAUUUGGAAGCGGGCAUGGAGAGAGCGGGUGAGAGAGAUACAGCAACAGAGGAGAGACGGAGGGAGGGGCAGAAGGAGGGAGAAAAGGGGGGACAAUCAGUGGAUGAAAAUGGCUUAGGUCACCUUUGCUUCUGACCAGACAGCACAAACCAACUGCCUUCCUCGCAGAUGAAUCUACCACAUUUGAGUCCUUUUCUUCUCUCCCUUUGCUGUUCACUGAAACUUUCACCCUCUGUUCCCUCUUUCUCCAUCUUCCCUCUGCCACUGCUGUCCAUUCAUUUGCCAUCAACGAAAGCUUAGCAGCUUUAAGGCGGAUUACAAGAUGAAUUGCGCGGAGCGAGACGCCGUAUAUUCUCUUUAGGGUGGGCUGCUGCUGCCAAAGGCCAGAGCUGAGUGCCGUCACCUGGGCUAGCAGCUGGCUAUCUUUUACACUUCACUCACUAAUGAGGCCAGACAGUUGGGGCUGAAGUUAUAGCACAGGCUGGAAGCUGUGUUGGCAAUCUAUUAUUUAGACUCUCGUGGGGAGGCCGGUCUCAAGAAUUUCAUGCAUGCAUUUUGCAAAGCAAAUGGUAGCCCGGGGGGAAUACAGAGCUCUGUGUGGGAAAAAAAUGAGCAAGAAUUAGACAUUAAUGUGAGCUGCGGUACUCUCUUGUCCUGCCUAUAUCAAACCUGCCAAGACCUGAAAGGAAACUUUUGAUAUUCUGUCACUUUUUUCAUCGCACUUGAAAAGGCUGCUGUUAAUACAGAUGUGCCUCAGCGACGUUAACAUCGCUGACAGCUCCGUCGGAUGCACAAGUCGCCGGUCUUUUUCAUUCACUUUUUCUGCCCUCUCUUUUCUUUUAGUUUGUCUCUCAUUGUGAUAUUUUAUGGAUGCCAGAUGAAGGUUGUGCUUGAGUCAUCAGACAGUCGACACAGAAGAACGAGUUUAUCUUUCCCUUCCCUUUUCAUGUAUAUUUUAAGACCUAUUUCAGAGGGGUUUCGAAGAGUUGCAUCACUCUGUUAUAGAUAACAGUGUGCAGACAGGACUUGUUUAUAUUUAGUCAGGCUAGAAAACUAUGGCGUGCAUGACCCCCACUAGGUAUUUAUAGAAAAAUACCAGAGUUAAAAUUUCCUCAGAUACCAGGGGCUGAUAUGGCAGUUAUUUAAAACAUGAAUUUCUCAGAUAUGGACUAAUGCAGGUCACUAACUCAGCAAACAAGUCUAGUUUAAAGGCGUCAGUUUCCACUAACUGUUACAGCCACAUGAACCCAUUUGGCAAUUAACUAUAUUUGGGCCUCUGUAAAUGCAAAUCCGCUGGGAGAUGAGAUGGCAACAGUUAAACAUAGAAAGGCAGUUAUAGCUGGAGCAGGGGAGUAGACUUGGGUUACUCUUAAAUGAAGUUCAUGUAGAAAGGCUCAGGAUACCACAAAUAGCUCGGAGUUAUACAUGUCAUAAAUAAACUGCGCAUACCAGAGGCCAUGAAGUCAUCAAGUUAUUUACCCCACACGUAACCGCAUCAUAUGAGAGCCGCAUCGUGUUAACUGAAUGUUGAUAUUCGCCGAAGAGUGACGCGAGGCAAGAAAGAAGCCCAUCGAGUCGUGAGGGAUGGAGGAAUUCGCGGCCGUGUGCUGUCACGCACCUCUGCAACUCAUGACCUCUAAAAUAUAGAGAUUUUCCAUGAAUUUCUCGUGGCAUUAAAGAGAAGUUCAUGUCAGGUGUAUACUGGUGUAACCCAAGCUGCCACCGUUAAUUCUCCACCUAACCCUUUCUUAUCCUUGCAUGUGUUUGCCCGUCCAUCUACCCUAAAGAAACAUUCCUGGAGAGUUUUAGCGUCACUGUAACUGGACACCGCUAGCCAUGCCUCGUUGAGAGUUUGACAGUGAGAAAGGGAGAGUUUGAACGUGGGAACUGGAAUGCUUGGGCUCAGCCUACUCCUCUUUGAAACUGGCAAAAGUUGAACACUACAUGCUACUUGGGUUUCAUGAUGUAAGGCAACAAAUCAGCCAUUGAGGAGGUGUUUGGAGAGGGCUUUUAUGAGAUUUGGUGGAAGAUAUCAAAUCUUGGAAAUGAGUUACCGUGAACAGUACAGGGAAGGGUUAUGUAUUUAAUGAGCAGGACUAGCACUUGAAAGAUACAGAUAGUUCUGGGCCGUUAAGAUUUGACACAAAACCAACUUGGGUAAAGAUAAAAAGGCCAAAAAGACAUUAUUCUACAGACUCAAAAAGGCAUCCAGUUUAAAAGUUUGAAGCUUCCCAUUCAGACUACGAUUGAAAAUGAGAUUCAGCCUUCCUGUAAAUUAGCUCCCUAACUUUAGUAAUCAUUUACAUUUAAUAGCUUGCCUCAGGUUUAGACUAGAAAAGUGUCAAUUUCAGCAAUUAAAAAUAUUAGAAAAGCUAAUGUGUAUUUAAGAAUGGAUGUAGAUGAGUUGAGAAUUUGCUGUUGAUUCUCAUCCCCUCAAGCUCUGAAUAUUGGGAUGGAUUUUUUCCUCUCCCCACAGCUGAUAUUUCGACUGUCUUUACGGUUCCUUGGUAGCCAUGAAAACCCAUUACAAUGCAAUCCCUUCCUCCCCCCUCCCUCCGCUUUCUCUCCUGUCUUCGCACCCUCUGCCGUUAUUUGGACCCCUUCCCAAACCAUCCAUUGUGAUAAGCUAAACACAAAGCUGUGAGGAGAACGUCUUGCGCUAGCUGCUAGCCAUAUUGUUGUCUUGCUUCUCUGCUUGGACUGCCAGCCCGCAUAACACUGCACCAGGGAAUUAACCUCUGCCGCUGUUCCCUUCAUAUUGAAUAAAUUUUGCGACGGCCACUCCAGCAGAGCCGCGGGGGGAAAAGUACUGUAGAUGUUGCCAAAAUUACUGACAGCUUCUCUCGAGCCCAUACUGCAUAAACACACAGCAAUAGUGAUAAACAGCUCGGGCCUUUUUUUUCUGCUUGUUGCUGCUUCUUGUGCAACCUUUACCAAAAUAAAAGGGCAUGACAUUUUUUUUACAGACAAGUCAGUUGACAUGGGAGUGGGACGUUAAAUAAGGAAGACUGAAGUUCACUGAAUGGGACAUCACUACAUUGUCACAGUUUGUGACCUUUCCCAUUUGCUCAGACAAGCAAGGGCUGCUCUUUGUCAAAAUGGCUCACGCCGUUUGUAAGCGAUUCCUCCCUUCCUGUUCCUCUUUUUUUCUUUUUUUUUUCAUAUCUGCCAUCUGCGGUGACUGCGUGACGCCACAGCUUCUGUGUCAUCAGUGACAACGUUCUCACACACACACAGGGACGAGACAAGAGAGAUCUGGAUAGGAAGAAAGGGGAGGGGGGUACAGAAAAGAGUGAGAAAAGAGAGCUUACUUCAUCCUUUAAUUGUGCCUCUGAAUGUCCCGGUGGACUUCAUUACCCAGGCAUCCUAAGAAAUCUCACUUGUUUGCUCUUGGAAACAUGUAAAAAACGUUUGUAGUUCUUUUUAAGUCUGUGCAGCGGCAUGAGGAGCUUCAGUUGGGCAAGUCUCAAAAUUCUUCUGUAACAGAGAUCGAGGCACAUUUCAAACAGUUGAGCCAAGCAUUUCUUUGUAGUAAGGAACUCUUGAUGAUUAUAUGUUAAGCUAAUGCAUCUGAUGGAUGCCCUAAGCCGGUCCCUUGGGCCCAUAUAAUCUACAGGCAGCAGAUUUGACGGGAAUGCUAACUUAUAUUAAAAAAAAAAAAAAACAUACUCACAACCUGGCCUGUGGUUUACUUCAACUCAAAACUAAGCACACAAAUGAGUUCAUGUUCAUCAUUAUAGACUGACAUGUUUACUUGUGUUAAAUAAGCUAAUUGUAAUUAUGCAGAGAUUUCAAAAGGACCUGUAUUCAUAUUUUACCCCAAAUUGUUGUAUUCAAAUUUGUCAGAUAUUCUCAUUUCCUCGAUGGUCUCAUUCAUCAAUUCAUUAUCAGCCGUGUUUUUGAAAAUAACCCCUUUCUGUUGCAAUUUACAGAAAAUAUCAGUGACACAUUCAGCUUUUGUAGACCUUACCGGAGGAUUGAAGGUAAUUUUUGACUUCAUUAAAUCUGAGGACUAAAAAAUCUACAGCAUCUCUGCAUAAAAACACAGCAGGCGAGGUGAUUAUCUUUGGAAAUUAGCUCACUCAUUUAGAGCUGUGUGGAUGCAGAUGCCUUCGUUCAAUGGAAGCCUAUUAUUCCAAACGACUCUCAUUAAGCUGUAGUGAAAUAAGGCAAGCUGUGGAAGCAGUGAAAUAAAAUCUUUAGACUGGCUGUGCAGAACUCGGCAGCGGUGCGCUACGCUGUCUUCAUUAAGAGCCCUGACGUCAGGAGUGAAAACGCAGAAAAUGACACAUGUAAAAAGGAAAAUUGUAUGCAGCUGAUUUUCUACCUCUCAUGCCCUAUAGGAGGUUAUUUUGUGUUUGUACUCCGAGCGGAGGGAUCCGACAAUACAGUUUGAGCUUAAUGAGUGAGUUAAUCUGACGCUGAGGAGUGUGAGUCACAGCUGAUCUUUAAUUUCUUUAUUCUUAUGAAGAUCUGCUGAUCAGAAGCUCUUUUAAUAGGAAGCUACUUUCCUGAUUAGUCAAACUGUAUGUGUUCGCACUUAACCCGAAUCAUACUCUGCCACAUGGAGUAGGGGAAAUGUUAUCCAAGUUUUUGCCAUAUGCUAUCUAAAUCUGCUCAAGUAUCAAAUAGGGAAACAAAAGUUAAGGAGUUAAAGCUCUUUUGUGUUUAUUCUGGCAAAGUUUAACCUCAUUUUGUUCCUGAUUUGAUCCUUUUUUUGACAUUGCGAUGACUCCUAAAGGUGGAAAAGACAGGCUGUUGUAAAGAGACACCUACCCGUCAGCUUUUAGAGAUACUGCCACAAACUACAUAAAAAAUAUUCCAUCCUUACGCUGAUGGUUUUGUGUUCUUAUGAAUGUCAUAUGGAGGUUUUAAUCUUAAAAGUGUGUUAGCUUGUUUCUAAACCAGCUAAAAACUUCUCACUGGAGCCUUAAGUGCCAGUUUUGACAGCAGGAGCUAACCGCCUUUAAUACUUACUGAUAACAACAUUGUCACAAUCUGAUAUGAUUAACUUUGGGUACAUUUAUCAUUGUCAGACUUUUAAUGUGUUAUUAUUAUUAUCCAUGCAAAUGUUUUGUGAAAAAGCCAAAGUUUACGCCUGCGUUACAAAUCUACAGUCUGUUGACAUGUUGACCUAUUUACGUUGAAAUCCGAGGCAGAGUGCAUGUUCAUCUGCAAAGGGAAUCAGUGACGCUCACUUGCUAGGUCAAGGUUUGGCCAGCUUACAAAAAUUUGCAUAAGCUUUGCAACCGCAGUAGCUCAAAUAUUUGCAUGUGCUAAACCUAUAGAAACUGUUGGCAAUGCAAACAAGCCACUUACUCUCACGAACUCUGAAGCUGAAGAGGAUGUAUUGAUCUACUGUUCUGAGUAUUCCUGGACCAUAUAUAGAUUUCCAAAAUGACAGAAUGAACCAAAGCUACAUUACAGAGCACCAUGGGGCCAUGAAGCAUCUGGGCAUGUUUUUCCCAGCAUCCAUUUCGAGUGUUUAACACCAGGGGAGCUCAGUUAGAGGGCCAGGGUAGGAGGGGGGAGAUUAGAUGGAAUCUUGUCAAACUACUGAUAGGUCUCUCUGUUCCCUGUGGUGUCAACAACACAGCAGGUGGCCUUCAUUUGCAUGUCCCAUGUUCUCACCUCCCUCGUCUCCCUCUCCAGUUUAUUUAUUACAACGGCCGCAGGUGGAAAUCAGAUGACUGUCAAAUCACCGUGAUGUCGGACAAGGCUCCACCACGACAACGUUUGCUCACAGACGAAUACACAAUCGCAGCAGACAGUGGUUUUAUAGCGACAGUCGGUUUAUUACGCCUCUAUGAUAACCUCCAUCCAAAGAUUCAUGUACCACUUGGUCCUAAACAUCAGUAGGCUGUAUGAAGUGAUGGAACGUACACAUUAAAAUUCGAUCUCCUGCAUCAGUAAAUCCAGCUCCGGUCAGGACAGCUUCUAUAAAUCGCCGGCCAUUAUUUUCGAUUAACCGCGCUGACACUGCGGCCUAUGACAUUUCUUCCAAUUUUUAGCCUCCCUGUCACAGUGGCGCCAUAUUUUUCAGCACUGUUUCAUUUAGAUUGUCCCAAAGC